rnacentral:rRNA from 1 species
CUAAGUUUGAUGGCGACCGGCGCACGGGUGAGUAACACGUAUCCAACCUACCGAUGACUCGGGGAUAGCCUUUCGAAAGAAAGAUUAAUACCCGAUGGCAUAGUUCUUCCGCAUGGUGGAACUAUUAAAGAAUUUCGGUCAUCGAUGGGGAUGCGUUCCAUUAGGUUGUUGGCGGGGUAACGGCCCACCAAGCCUUCGAUGGAUAGGGGUUCUGAGAGGAAGGUCCCCCACAUUGGAACUGAGACACGGUCCAAACUCCUACGGGAGGCAGCAUG